rnacentral:rRNA from 1 species
GAUUAACGCUGGCGGCGUGCAUAACAUAUGCAAGUCGAACGAUGAAACUUAAAUGAUUUCUUCGGAAUGAACUUAAGUGGAUUAGUGGCGGACGGGUGAGUAACGCGUGAGUAACCUGCCUUACACAAGGGGAUAGCCGUUGGAAACGACGAAUAAUACCCUAUGAAACUAUCACUUCGCAUGAAGCGAUAGUCAAAGUGUUAGCGGUGUAAGAUGGACUUGCGUCUGAUUAGCUAGUUGGUGAGAAAAAAGCCCACCAAGGCAACGAUCAGUAGCCGGCUUGAGAGAGUGUACGGCCACAUUGGGACUGAGACACGGCCCAGACUCCUACGGGAGGCAGCAGUGGGGAAUUUUGCACAAUGGGGGAAACCCUGAUGCAGCGACGCCGCGUGAUUUAGAAGGCCUUCGGGUUGUAAAAAUCUUUUGUAUAGGAAGAAAAUGACAGUACUAUACGAAUAAGGUCCGGCUAAUUACGUG